rnacentral:lncRNA from 1 species
AUGGUGCCCUCAGGCUUGCAGUGGGCUUGGAAGAAGUGUGGAGGGCAUCGUUUGCUCCCUGCCAUUGCUUCGUGUUGCUCCAUGGCUGUGAUAAGCCGCAGGCAGCAGCCUCUCCCCUUGCUAACGAGUUCUAUCAAACAAGGUGGCAUGGCACCCUUGCUAACUCACAGAGGGCUGUCAGCUCAUUGGGCAGGUAAUUCCCACCCUGUGAGGGUUGUAUCCUUCCCCCAUGGUAAAGAGGACAUCUCUUUUUCCUGCCCAGCGCCGUUGCUGCUGGCAUCCUCCUGGACUGGCCAUGCAAGGGAGCAACCGCAGUCAGAGACCUUCUGUGAGAAGUCCAUGUGGAGGUUGGGGGAGGAAGGAGGAUGUGCACGGAUUAUCCCGCUUGAACUGAGACAACUGGCAGCCAUAUGUCCUCCCUUCAGAUACUGGAAGGCCGCUCUCAGAUCUCCCCGGAGCCUUCUCUCCUCCAGGCUGAACAGCUCCAGGUCUCUCAGCCUGUCCUCAUAGGAGAAGUGUUCCAUCCCUGGGAUCAUUUUUGUGGCCUUCCUCUGGACACAUUUCAACAGGUCCACAUCUCUCCUGUACUGAGGACUCCACAUAUGGAUGCAGUACUUCAGGUGACUUUUCACCAGUGCAAAGCAGAGGGGCAGGAUCACCUCCCUUGCCCUGCUGGCCAUGCUGCUUUUGAUGCAGCCCAGGUACGAUUGGCUUUUGUAGGCUGCGAGGACACAUUGCUGGCUCAUGUCCAGCUUGCCAUCCACCAGUAUCCCCCAGGCCUUUUCAGCAGGGUUGUACUCCAUCCUUACAUCCCCCAGCUUGUACUGAUAGCAGGGGUUGCCAUGACUCAGGUGCAAAACCUUGAACUUGGAUUUAUUGAACCUCAUGAGUUUCUCCUGGGCCUGAGCCUGUGUAGGUCUCUCUGA